AGCACUUGUAUCUGUUUUUGUCUAAUUUGUGGACUAAGACUUAUGAACAGGUGCAAAAAAUAAAUCCUCUUCCACAACCAGAACUCACUGUUCAGUGCAGGUUUUCACACACAGGAAGGAAUAUU
rnacentral:snoRNA from 1 species